rnacentral:rRNA from 1 species
GGUGAACGCUGGCGGUAGGCCUAACACAUGCAAGUCGAACGGCAGCACAGUAAGAGCUUGCUCUUACGGGUGGCGAGUGGCGGACGGGUGAGGAAUACAUCGGAAUCUACUUUUUCGUGGGGGAUAACGUAGGGAAACUUACGCUAAUACCGCAUACGACCUACGGGUGAAAGCAGGGGAUCUUCGGACCUUGCGCGAUUGAAUGAGCCGAUGUCGGAUUAGCUAGUUGGCGGGGUAAAGACCCACCAAGGCGACGAUCCGUAGCUGGUCUGAGAGGAUGAUCAGCCACACUGGAACUGAGACACGGUCCAGACUCCUACGGGAGGCAGCAGUGGGGAAUAUUGGACAAUGGGCGCAAGCCUGAUCCAGCCAUACCGCGUGGGUGAAGAAGGCCUUCGGGUUGUAAAGCCCUUUUGUUGGGAAAGAAAAGCAGCAGGUUAAUACCCCGCUGUUCUGACGGUACCCAAAGAAUAAGCACCGGCUAACUUCGUG